CACGUAGGCACCAAGCGUUGUCCGGAUUUAUUGGGCGUAAAGAGCUCGUAGGCGGUUCGGUAAGUCGGGUGUGAAACCUCCAGGCUCAACCUGGAGACGCCACCCGAUACUGCCGUGACUAGAGUCCAGUAGGGGAGCGUGGAAUUCCUGGUGUAGCGGUGAAAUGCGCAGAUAUCAGGAGGAACACCAGCGGCGAAGGCGGCGCUCUGGGCUGGAACUGACGCUGAGGAGCGAAGCGUGGGAGCGAACAGG
rnacentral:rRNA from 1 species